UACAGAGGAUGCAAGCGUUAUCCGGAAUGAUUGGGCGUAAAGCGUUUGUAGGUGGCUUUUUAAGUCCGCCGUCAAAUCCCAGGGCUCAACUCUGGACAGGCGGUGGAAACUACCAAGCUGGAGGACGGUAGGGGCAGAGGGAAUUUCCGGUGGAGCGGUGAAAUGCGUAGAGAUCGGGAAGAACACCAACGGCGAAAGCACUCUGCUGGGCCGACACUGACGCCGAGAGACGAAAGCUAGGGGAGCGAAUGGG
rnacentral:rRNA from 1 species